AAUCCAUAGGUUAAUGAGGCGAACCGGGGGAACUGAAACAUCUAAGUACCCCGAGGAAAAGAAAUCAACCGAGAUUCCCCCAGUAGCGGCGAGCGAACGGGGAGGAGCCCAGAGCCUGAAUCAGCAUGUGUGUUAGUGGAAGCGUCUGGAAAGGCGCGCGAUACAGGGUGACAGCCCCGUACACAAAAGCGCAUGUGCUGUGAGCUCGAUGAGUAGGGCGGGACACGUGGUAUCCUGUCUGAAUAUGGGGGGACCAUCCUCCAAGGCUAAAUACUCCUGACUGACCGAUAGUGAACCAGUACCGUGAGGGAAAGGCGAAAAGAACCCCGGCGAGGGGAGUGAAAAAGAACCUGAAACCGUGUACGUACAAGCAGUGGGAGCACCCUUUGGGUGUGACUGCGUACCUUUUGUAU
rnacentral:rRNA from 4 species